rnacentral:rRNA from 1 species
GAUCAUGGCUCAGGAUGAACGCUAGCGACAGGCUUAACACAUGCAAGUCGAGGGGCAGCACAGGUAGCAAUACCGGGGUGGCGACCGGCGCACGGGUGAGUAACGCGUAUGCAACUUGCCUAUCAGAGGGGGAUAACCCGGCGAAAGUCGGACUAAUACCGCAUGAAGCAGGGGCCCCGCAUGGGGAUAUUUGCUAAAAGAUUUUAUCGCUGAUAGAUAGGCAUGCGUUCCAUUAGG